rnacentral:rRNA from 1 species
GACGAACGCUGGCGGCGUGCCUAAUACAUGCAAGUCGAACGCAUUUUCUUUCACCGUAGCUUGCUACACCGAAAGAAAAUGAGUGGCGAACGGGUGAGUAACACGUGGGUAACCUGCCCAUCAGCGGGGGAUAACACUUGGAAACAGGUGCUAAUACCGCAUAAUUCCAUUUACUGCAUGGUAGAUGGAUGAAAGGCGCUUUUGCGUCACUGAUGGAUGGACCCGCGGUGCAUUAGCUAGUUGGUGGGGUAACGGCCUACCAAGGCUGCGAUGCAUAGCCGACCGGAGAGGGUGAUCGGCCACACUGGGACUGAGACACGGCCCAGACUCCUACGGGAGGCAGCAGUAGGGAAUCUUCGGCAAUGGACGCAAGGCUGACCGAGCAACGCCGCGUGAGUGAAGAAGGGUUUCGGAUCGUAAAACUCGGUUGUUAGAAAAGAAAAAGGAUGAGAGUGGAAAGUUCAUCCCUUGACGGUAUCUAACCAGAAAGCCACGGCUAACUACGUG